rnacentral:rRNA from 1 species
UACGUAGGGAGCAAGCGUUGUCCGGAAUCAUUGGGCGUAAAGCGCGCGUAGGCGGCUCGAUCAGUCUGCUGUGAAAGUCAAAGGCUCAACCUUUGAAUGCCGGUGGAUACUGUCGAGCUAGAGUCCGGAAGAGGCGGGUGGAAUUCCUGGUGUAGCGGUGGAAUGCGCAGAUAUCAGGAGGAACACCAACGGCGAAGGCAGCCCGCUGGGACGGUACUGACGCUAAGGCGCGAAAGCGUGGGGAGCGAACAGG